rnacentral:rRNA from 1 species
UAGCCUUGACAUACUACAGAAUUUGACAGAGAUGUUGAAGUGCCUUCGGGAGCUGUAAUACAGGUGCUGCACGGCUGUCGUCAGCUCGUGUCGUGAGAUGUUGGGUUAAGUCCCGCAACGAGCGCAACCCUCGUCCUUAGUUACUAACGGUUCGGCCGAGGACUCUAAGGAGACUGCCUUCGUAAGGAGGAGGAAGGUGAGGACGACGUCAAGUCAUCAUGGCCCUUACGGCUAGGGCAACACACGUGCUACAAUGGUUAG